GUCCAGGGGGCCGCCUUCGCCACCGGUAUUCCUCCAGAUCUCUACGCAUUUCACCGCUACACCUGGAAUUCUACCCCCCUCUACAAGACUCUAGCCUGCCAGUUUCGAAUGCAGUUCCCAGGUUGAGCCCGGGGAUUUCACAUCCGACUUGACAGACCGCCUGCGUGCGCUUUACGCCCAGUAAUUCCGAUUAACGCUUGCACCCUCCGUAUUACCGCGGCUGCUGGCACGGAGUUAGCCGGUGCUUCUUCUGCGGGUAACGUCAAUCGAUGAGGUUAUUAACCUCACCGCCUUCCUCCCCGCUGAAAGUGCUUUACAACCCGAAGGCCUUCUUCACACACGCGGCAUGGCUGCAUCAGGCUUGCGCCCAUUGUGCAAUAUUCCCCACUGCUGCCUCCCGUAGGAGUCUGGACCGUGUCUCAGUUCCAGUGUGGCUGGUCAUCCUCUCAGACCAGCUAGGGAUCGUCGCCUAGGUGAGCCGUUACCCCACCUACUAGCUAAUCCCAUCUGGGCACAUCUGAUGGCAUGAGGCCCGAAGGUCCCCCACUUUGGUCUUGCGACGUUAUGCGGUAUUAGCUACCGUUUCCAGUAGUUAUCCCCCUCCAUCAGGCAGUUUCCCAGACAUUACUCACCCGUCCGCCGCUCGUCACCCGAGAGCAAGCUCUCUGUGCUACCGCUCGACUUGCAUGUGUUAGGCCUG
rnacentral:rRNA from 1 species